CAGAGUUCCUGCCCUCACGGGUAGAAACCCCACCCUUGUAUAUUAUAUAUUGUUGCUUUGGCGGGCCGCCCUCACGGGCACCGGCUCACGCUGGCUCGCGCCCGCCGAAGGACCCCAAACCCUGAAUUAUUAGUGUCGUCUGAGUAAAAUAUUUAAUAUUUA
rnacentral:misc_RNA from 1 species